UACGAAGGGGGCUAGCGUUGUUCGGAAUUACUGGGCGUAAAGCGCGCGCAGGCGGUCUUCCAAGUCAGUGGUGAAAGCCCGGAGCUCAACUCCGGAACUGCCAUUGAAACUGUGAGACUUGAGGAUGAGAGAGGUGAAUGGAAUUCCCAGUGUAGAGGUGAAAUUCGUAGAUAUUGGGAAGAACACCGGUGGCGAAGGCGGGUCUCUGGGCCGUUACUGACGCUGAGGAGCGAAAGCGUGGGGAGCGAACAGG
rnacentral:rRNA from 1 species